UUGGAGGGCAAGUCUGGUGCCAGCAGCCGCGGUAAUUCCAGCUCCAAUAGCGUAUAUUAAAGUUGUUGCAGUUAAAAAGCUCGUAGUUGAAUUUCGGGAUCAAUACGUCGGUCGUGCCUCUGGUAUGAAUUGGUGUUAUUGAUUCCUCCUUUCUGAUAAACCAUGAUGUCAUUAAUUUGGUGUUGUGGGGAGUCAGGACUGUUACUUUGAAAAAAUUAGAGUGUUUAAAGCAGGCCUACGCUUGAAUACAUUAGCAUGGAAUAAUGAAAUAGGACGUUCGAACCUAUUUUGUUGGUUUCUAGGAUCAACGUAAUGAUUAAUAGGGAUAGUUGGGGGCAUUAGUAUUCAAUUGUCAGAGGUGAAAUUCUUGGAUUUAUUGAAGACUAACUACUGCGAAAGCAUUUGCCAAGGAUGUUUUCAUUAAUCAAGAACGAAAGUUAGGGGAUCGAAGACGAUCAGAUACCGUCGUAGUCUUAACCAUAAACUAUGCCGACUAGGGAUCGGAUGAUGUUAAUUUUUUAAUGACUCAUUCGGCGCCUUACGGGAAAC
rnacentral:rRNA from 1 species